GGUCAGAGAGAGGUACCUUGCUUGGGCUGAUUGGAGACUGAGUGGAAGCUGAAGCAGGACCUAGAGCAGGGAUUAAAGCAGGAGAGAGCUCAGCUGCUAAUCUCUUUCUACGCACACUCUCUUCUAACCUGCGAAUGGAUUUUCUUCUUUGUGGUAGCUUCAUUUUGGGAGCCAUUAGGUCAAGAGAGACUUGGAAGGAGCUUAGGAGACUAAAUGUGAGGC
rnacentral:lncRNA from 1 species